rnacentral:lncRNA from 1 species
GUUGAUGUAAGGCCUCUUUUUGUUGGCCGUUUUUCCCGAACUUGUUACAUCUGUAAUUCCAGUAAUAUUGACAGGUACCUAAUCUUAUGGGAGUUAUUAUCCAAAUGUGUUCAUCUAUUAAGUUCUAGAUGUACAUUCAAUCGUAUUUUUGGGCUAUGAAGAGUUAGUCCAUGAGUCAUUUUCAUCAAUUCUUCCAUUAAAUGUUUAUCAAUGUUUUCAUCUUCAUAAACUUUUAGAUCAAAGAUGCCGCCUCGCAGAAAUCCAAGGGGAAACCCUAAUAAUGAAACACCGACACCACCUACUCCUCAGUUCGAUACGACAAUCCUAAAUGCUGAUGUAGCUGCAGUUGUGGCUACAACCAUGGCUCAAUAUCAUUCGUCUGGUUCCACUAGAGGAGGAACCCUUGUCCUGUCUACUCAUGGUGAAAUCCCGGGCGCUUGAAAGAGUGCUCCUACAANCCGGUGCGUUGGAAAGAGUGCUCCUACAAGGACUUCACCAACUGCAAGCCAUUGUCCUUCAAGGGGACUGGCGGAGUCAUUGCCCUCUCGCAAUGGUUC